UUGCGUUGGGAUGCUAACAAUAUAGUUGCUGAAAACCUAAUAUUUUUAAUUUUAUUAUUAAUAUAUCAAUGAAACAAAGACCAUCAGCAAUUUAGGGAGAAGGGUUUAACAAUUUGGGGAACUUGUAGAUUCUAUGAUUAGAGAUGGUCAUCGACUUGAUCAUAAAGUAUAAAGUGGUGAUAUAUAUGGAGACGACAACUCAAGACAAUAUGUAUAAUUUCUAGAAUUCAAUCAAAACAAUGUUAGGCCUCACUAUUAUCAAGGCUACUAGCAAAUAGCAAUAGAAGGUAAAAACUAAAUGUGGCCGUUAUUUAAGUCUAUAGCCUUUCUAAAUUUUACCUUUACUUGAAUAAUAUGGCAUAAAUUCUCCUUGUAGGAAUUUAUUUUUCUCUAUUUGAGAGUAUUGGCCUAAUAUGAACUCGUUUCCCCAAAAAAACGAAGACAUCCAGUGCCUAAACUCAUUGCCUGAGUUGGAAUGAGUUUUUUUCUAUGUGAGUUUACCAGAUACACAAAGGCAUUGCAGGUCAUCAAGAAGCUCCAUAAGGAGCAGGCCCAAGAAAUCAGGACAUACAAGUUGAAAUUAGAGCAUCUGCAAACGUUCAAAGAUUCUGCUAAUAAGAUGGAAGAAAUAUUCCAAGGUAGUGUAUGGGACUCAAGGGAACACCAAUGCACUCUCCCCAAUCUGUGAUAACCCUUACGGUUGCAGAACAUCAUAGUGUUUUUUUUGUUCCUUGGCACUUUGUAGCUUAGAAGACUGGCGCCGUUUAAAAUUUGUGAGUUUGUGUGAAGAAGAAGUUCUGGAUUCCAUGAAAUUGAGUUUUGUCGAGAAAGACAAAGCGGUGUGUUUGUUCAUCGUCGGUCUCGAAUGUGCUAAGCUGAUUUUUGAGUGGCAAUAGUGUUGUACAUUAUAAUUUAUAAGGAAAUUGUAGGUGUCUUGUUAUGCUUCUUUUAGAUAACAACCAGUGUGUGGCCCGGGCGACGCCCCGAUAGCUACAUUGAAUAGUCAAAAUUUAAGAUUUUUCUUGAGCAUAAUAUUUGACCAAAUUAUUCGUAUUCCAUCGAGUGAAAAACAAUCCAUUAGGUUUGUCAACAAUACAGACACACUACGUCACUUAUCAUGCCAAGUAAUUUUUCAAUUGGAUUAUUUUAUAAUUUGUAUGAUUUGUUGUCC